rnacentral:rRNA from 1 species
AUAGCGUAUAGUACCGUGAGGGAAAGGUGAAAAGAACCCCGGGAGGGGAGUGAAAUAGACCCUGAAACCCUGCACUUACAAGCUGUGGAAGCACAUUUCUUGUGUGACCGCGUCCUUUUUGUAGAACGGGCCAACGAGUUACGUUAAGUAGCAAGGUUAAGCACUUAAGGUGCGGAGCCGUAGCGAAAGCGAGUUUUAACUGAGCGUUCAGUUA